UCUGCAAAUAUUUACCCAUGAGAUUGGAUUUGGAGUUAGCCACUGAUAGACAACUUCAGAAUGAACAGGUUCAGAUUUAUAAUAGAGUCUAUUUUUUUUUUUCCCAUAAGAAGUGUUUUGUUUCUAGAUUAGCAUAAGAUUAAGGUAAGGACUUCCAGCCUACACAAGAAGUGCAAUCUCACUUUUUGUCGAAGACACAGACCGUGUCCUUUGCUGUGCUGAUGGAAUUUGCCUGAGCAAGAAGUUUUCUUUGAGAAUUCGCUUUACCCAAGAGCAGAGAGAAAAAAAUCCAAGGUGCAGGAUGACUGUAAAUGGCACAGCUGGAGUGGGUGAGUUCAGUGAAAGGACUGAUGGAAAUCCACAACUUCCCUGAGUCCUUCCUCUCCACAGGGAGAAAAUGAUACCUGGAGGAAGGUGAGGGUGCAGCACAACCUUCAUCCCUACCCAGGAGCUCUGCAGCAUUGUGACCUUUCGGAAUGCUUUCAGCUCCUGCUUUUCCCUUUUCACAUCAUGUUCAGGCUGUUUCUUGAGGAUUAAUGCAGCCACUUGAAGAUGAACUUAAACCACUUGGAUUUCUGGCUAUGGUUCCUGCAAUCCCUGCACAGGGACCGUGUCUGAAGCUUGGCUGAAACCUAAUCCUACCUUGGUUAACAAAACAGAGAGAACAGGAAGCGCUGUGAAGGAAUUUUUCAUUCCCUGGGACGUCUUUGAUCCCACUCCCCUCCCUUUUCCUAUCAGGCAUGAAAAUCUGCCCCGCACUGAGACUUUGCUGUUGUGUAAGCCUGAACCUGAGAACUCCAGAAUCCAGGAGGGAACCCGACUAAAAUUCACAAUUUUUUGGGGGAAAACCAAUCAUGGCCCGAAUCAAGGGGCAUUCAAACAUUGCAGAAACCCCAAAUAAACCCUUUAAGCAUCUUCCCCUGCAGCCACCACUUUCUGUCCCUCAGUUCAACUUCCUGACACACAGAGGGAAUUUUUUUCAUCAUUCUCCAUUUCUGAAAUCUGAAAUUUGCAGAGCUCCAACCAAAUUAAUGCCUGAUUAAUAUUUGGGGUUCUGGAGGAAUGUGUCAACCCUUAUUCCAGUCCCACGUGGAAUGCAAGGCUGCAUCUCUGCUUUGGGCAAUAAAACAAUUGAAUAAAAUAUAAUUGAUUAAAAUGUGAUUUCAAAUUUAUUUUAAAUAAAAUAUAAUUAAAUAAAAGAAUUACGACAUUAAUUAGAAUUAAUAAUUAAAAUAUUAAAAUAUCCUGAAAGGGCUUAAUUACCACAGAGCAGCCUCCUGCUCAUAGCCAAGUCUGGAGCACUCCAGAGCAGGAGGGGACAUACAAAUCAUAAAAAUGUACCAAGAUCAUCUCAGGGCAGAUCCCACAACAGCCCCUCUGCCUAGAAAACACACUUCUACAAUAAUGCAACACUUCUGUGGAAGUGAGAGUGUUUAUACCUUUGUUUAUAUUUUUAUACUCUUCAUCUUCACUUUUGCUGUUACAGUUUCACUCCCUGAAGUAGAAUUUCAUCCUCAACCCCUCUCUUUUUUCCUGUUGAGGAGUUUCUUUGCCAUUCAGUCAUUCUCCCCCAUUCCCACCAGUUCCCUCCUCGGUUUUUUUAAGGCUGGGAGAGAAAGGGAGAUGAGAAAUAAAGAUGGGGCAGCUUUUUGUUGUUUUUAAGGGAAGGAGUGAGCUUGGAGAAUUUUAUACCCCAGCAUCUCCAGGACCAUCAGAUCCUUCUGGGGCACAGCACCCCUGUCCUGCAGGUCCCAGGGUUCUGUGGGGUCCUGCAAAUCCUUCUGUGACUCUGGGGUUUCACACAGCACAGCUGCCUGCAGGGAAAAGAAUUUUAGAAAGUCAUCGGGGAAAGCAAACAAACAAAAAAUGCCAGUGUGGCUCCACAGAUGCUAAGAUUAAUGGAUUUUUAUUUCCAAUUUAGCCUUUGUGCUUUCUGAUGGAAAGAGACUAUUCUGGGGUGAGAGUUCUUCAUUAAAUAAUUAAAAAUAAAAAAAAAGAACAAUUAAUGGAGUGAAACUGGAAUGCCAAAGUGUGCUGCAUUGUCAGGCCCUUUUACGCAGCUC